rnacentral:lncRNA from 1 species
UACCCUGUAGCAUGCAUUGUGUUUUCAGCCUUUUGAGGCAUUUUCACGUCCAUCAUAGCAUAGGAUUGGGGAGCUAGGAGUCAGAGUGGGUGUGACUCGUGUGUGUUUGGCAGCUGCUCAUUGAGAACCUUUAAGGUCGAGGCUCCCAGUCAGAAUUUUAGGUACCUGCCUGUUGACCUCUGGCUCUAGGAUGUGUGUUUUAGAAACCUGUAUCUAGUGUGCGUGCGUGUGUGCUCACUGGAGCGAGUACUAGGAGGUUGUAGGGAGGAACACCAGGUAUUACAGAAGGGAUCACUAGACUAACAUCACUGAAUAGCUGUAGAUAGGUGAGCAUGCUGGGCAAAGGGCAAAAGUAGCAAAAGACAGCCAGGGCAGUGGGCUGUUGCCAUAUCACGAAGGGCUGAGCUAAGGAGAUUAACAAUUUUCUUGCAUUGCCUUCAUUUGAGUCAUGAAACAGCCAGUUUCUCACAACUGACAAGGUCAGGGUUACAGGCAAUUUCUUUUUAUAUAUUAAUUUUUAAAUUUAGAGCAAAUGCUUGACUGUCAUGUAAUAAUAUCAUUCUCAUUCAUUUGCAUUCCAGUAUGCUUUUUUGACUAAAAGGGAAAAAAUAUCUUAGCAACUUUAGAAUUGUACUUAACCCUGGGUACACACACCCAUGACUAUUUGUAUGAAAAUUUGUAUUUAAGUGUCUAAAUGCAGCCUCACCUGUGGUUUUCCCCCAUGGUAUGGCAUAAGAAAACAAUUGGUGACACAAGCUGGGGAUCUGUGGGAAUUGAAGUCAGUGGAACAGAUCUUGUGGAGGAAAAAUAGUUUCCCAGGCUUACAAGUGAGACUUAAAGUGAUUUGGGAUGGAAUUGAUAUAAAUCAAGCAGAAAGGUUGUAUUGAUACCUUAGGUCAUUUAGUUCAAUCAUUUUCCCAGUGCUUUUAGCCCUCUUCAGAGUCUAACUCCAUGGCCCUCCAGUCUCAACUUGGACACCUCCAAAAAAAACAUUCACUUCAACAAAAGUUUAUUGAGUGCCUAUUAUGUGACAGGCUAGGAACUUGGGAUACAGUAGUGAACAAAACAAAGAUGUAUUUCCUCUCUUGAGUUUUGUAGUUUUGUUGUUGGUUUGGUUUUUAUUGGUCUUGUCAUACGAUCUGCGUACAUCUCUGAAUCCUUUUUUUUUUUUUUUUGAGUUGAAGUCUCGCCCUUGUCGCCCAGGCUGGAGUGCAA